AAUGAUACCCAGGUAGUCCACGCCGUAAACGAUGAGUGCUAAGUGUUAGAGGGUUUCCGCCCUUUAGUGCUGCAGCUAACGCAUUAAGCACUCCGCCUGGGGAGUACGGUCGCAAGACUGAAACUCAAAGGAAUUGACGGGGGCCCGCACAAGCGGUGGAGCAUGUGGUUUAAUUCGAAGCAACGCGAAGAACCUUACCAGGUCUUGACAUCCUCUGACAACUCUAGAGAUAGAGCGUUCCCCUUCGGGGGACAGAGUGACAGGUGGUGCAUGGUUGUCGUCAGCUCGUGUCGUGAGAUGUUGGGUUAAGUCCCGCAACGAGCGCAACCCUUGAUCUUAGUUGCCAGCAUUUAGUUGGGCACUCUAAGGUGACUGCCGGUGACAAACCGGAGGAAGGUGGGGAUGACGUCAAAUCAUCAUGCCCCUUAUGACCUGGGCUACACACGUGCUACAAUGGAUGGUACAAAGGGCUGCAAGACCGCGAGGUCAGCCAAUCCCAUAAAACCAUUCUCAGUUCGGAUUGUAGGU
rnacentral:rRNA from 1 species